GCAGAGCUGUUAGUAGAAUCAGGACCGCACCCUGGAACUGAGGGGAAGCUGAGACUUCACGCCGCUAAGAAGGGACAAGAUCCAUCUGCCCCCAGCCCUGG